rnacentral:rRNA from 1 species
AUGCUUGGUCGACGCCCGGGCUCACCCUCACGCUCUACGUGCGCUCUCCACCCAGCGCGCCCCAAAAGCAGCUCCUCUGCUUGUCGAUCUGCGCAACGGCGGAGGCACGGCGGGAGACGGUCAUCGCGUUGCCGUAGUGGUUGCUCUCAACAGCCAAAUCAGGCGCCUCCUCGACGGAGGAGUUGUUGCCGAGGAACACGUCGACGUUGGUCGUCAUCUCGAAAAUACUCGCCCUAUCCAUAUCGAGGAACAGCCGGCCCGUCGGCCCACGCACCACACGGACGACGGGCACUCCUCGACAGAGAGCAAGGGGCAACCCAACGCGGCGUCAAGGAAGAGGAACGAACGCAGAUCGCGGUCGCCACCGAAGUAGGAGGGCUCCACCUACAUCACGACCGCGCCGCCGGCGGCGUCCGUGACGGCCAACCCGUAGCCCCGCGAGGACUUCGAUCUGGUCACCGUUAA